rnacentral:tRNA from 1 species
GCCUGGUUGGCUGAGUCAGUUAAGUGUCUGUCUUCAGCUCAGCUCAUGAUCUCAGGGUCCUGGGAUCGAAUCCUACAUCAGGCU